rnacentral:lncRNA from 1 species
GGUUAAUAAAACAAUGAAUGCAAAAUGGAUCCAUGCAGGAGAUUCUUUUUAGUGGGAUUGUUGGCUCUUGCAUGAUCGGAGGAGGAGGAAAAUCAGCGAAAUAAGCGCCGACAACUUUGAUUAAAUCCAUAUCUGCAGGAAAGAAACCAGAACGGUAGUUUGUCUAUACAUUUGAGUAUUAUAAAUCAUAUUUAUAUAUAUAUGUUCAUUUAUGGAAACCCAUGAAACGAUACCCUUUGCAUAUUCCGCAGUUUAAAAAUAUGACAGAGAAUUUGCAUAUGUCUGGGAAUAACAUCUACAGACUUCUUUGAUUGGUGGAGCAGCAAGGCCGUGCCAAGGAAUAUUUGCGCCCGUGGCAAAGUUGUAAAACGGCGCCUCCAAGCACCCUUCCGAUUCAAAGCUGGAUAGUUUUGAGCCCAAAUCGCCGCCUUCGCCC